UAGGGAGACCUAAUCCAUUUAGAAAUCGAAAACAAUGAAAAUUGUCAAUAGAAACUAAAUUGGUCUAACCUAGGUCGUUCGAGAUUGGUAGGCAUCUUUCAAAGUAUUAUUCGGCUUCGUUCAAAACCAUAUAUAAUAAAUGGAAAAAGACAGCACCUAAUUGUCAAAGUUAGACUGCUGGAUGAAGUUCCAGCCAGAACCUUGAAAACUGCAUAAGAGAACAAGAAAAAGCAGGCAGACACAGACAUUUAGAUGGAUGUGGAAGCAAAAGAAAUUGU
rnacentral:misc_RNA from 1 species